rnacentral:tRNA from 1 species
ACCUGGGUGGCUCUGUUGGUUGAGCAUCUGACUCUUGAUUUUGGCUCAGGUCUCACAGUUUGUGGGUUCGAGCCCCACAUCAGGCU